UUAAGCGACUAAGCGUACACGGUGGAUGCCCUGGCAGUCAGAGGCGAUGAAGGACGUGCUAAUCUGCGAUAAGCGUCGGUAAGGUGAUAUGAACCGUUAUAACCGGCGAUUUCCGAAUGGGGAAACCCAGUGUGAUUCGUCACACUAUCAUUAACUGAAUCCAUAGGUUAAUGAGGCGAACCGGGGGAACUGAAACAUCUAAGUACCCCGAGGAAAAGAAAUCAACCGAGAUUCCCCCAGUAGCGGCGAGCGAACGGGGAGCAGCCCAGAGCCUGAAUCAGUGUGUGUGUUAGUGGAAGCGUCUGGAAAGGCGCGCGAUACAGGGUGACAGCCCCGUACACAAAAAUGCACAUGCUGUGAGCUCGAUGAGUAGGGCGGGACACGUGGUAUCCUGUCUGAAUAUGGGGGGACCAUCCUCCAAGGCUAAAUACUCCUGACUGACCGAUAGUGAACCAGUACCGUGAGGGAAAGGCGAAAAGAACCCCGGCGAGGGGAGUGAAAAAGAACCUGAAACCGUGUACGUACAAGCAGUGGGAGCACGCUUAGGCGUGUGACUGCGUACCUUUUGUAUAAUGGGUCAGCGACUUAUAUUCUGUAGCAAGGUUAACCGAAUAGGGGAGCCGAAGGGAAACCGAGUCUUAACUGGGCGUUAAGUUGCAGGGUAUAGACCCGAAACCCGGUGAUCUAGCCAUGGGCAGGUUGAAGGUUGGGUAACACUAACUGGAGGACCGAACCGACUAAUGUUGAAAAAUUAGCGGAUGACUUGUGGCUGGGGGUGAAAGGCCAAUCAAACCGGGAGAUAGCUGGUUCUCCCCGAAAGCUAUUUAGGUAGCGCCUCGUGAAUUCAUCUCCGGGGGUAGAGCACUGUUUCGGCAAGGGGGUCAUCCCGACUUACCAACCCGAUGCAAACUGCGAAUACCGGAGAAUGUUAUCACGGGAGACACACGGCGGGUGCUAACGUCCGUCGUGAAGAGGGAAACAACCCAGACCGCCAGCUAAGGUCCCAAAGUCAUGGUUAAGUGGGAAACGAUGUGGGAAGGCCCAGACAGCCAGGAUGUUGGCUUAGAAGCAGCCAUCAUUUAAAGAAAGCGUAAUAGCUCACUGGUCGAGUCGGCCUGCGCGGAAGAUGUAACGGGGCUAAACCAUGCACCGAAGCUGCGGCAGCGACGCUUAUGCGUUGUUGGGUAGGGGAGCGUUCUGUAAGCCUGCGAAGGUGUACUGUGAGGUAUGCUGGAGGUAUCAGAAGUGCGAAUGCUGACAUAAGUAACGAUAAAGCGGGUGAAAAGCCCGCUCGCCGGAAGACCAAGGGUUCCUGUCCAACGUUAAUCGGGGCAGGGUGAGUCGACCCCUAAGGCGAGGCCGAAAGGCGUAGUCGAUGGGAAACAGGUUAAUAUUCCUGUACUUGGUGUUACUGCGAAGGGGGGACGGAGAAGGCUAUGUUGGCCGGGCGACGGUUGUCCCGGUUUAAGCGUGUAGGCUGGUUUUCCAGGCAAAUCCGGAAAAUCAAGGCUGAGGCGUGAUGACGAGGCACUACGGUGCUGAAGCAACAAAUGCCCUGCUUCCAGGAAAAGCCUCUAAGCAUCAGGUAACAUCAAAUCGUACCCCAAACCGACACAGGUGGUCAGGUAGAGAAUACCAAGGCGCUUGAGAGAACUCGGGUGAAGGAACUAGGCAAAAUGGUGCCGUAACUUCGGGAGAAGGCACGCUGAUAUGUAGGUGAAGUCCCUCGCGGAUGGAGCUGAAAUCAGUCGAAGAUACCAGCUGGCUGCAACUGUUUAUUAAAAACACAGCACUGUGCAAACACGAAAGUGGACGUAUACGGUGUGACGCCUGCCCGGUGCCGGAAGGUUAAUUGAUGGGGUCAGCGCAAGCGAAGCUCUUGAUCGAAGCCCCGGUAAACGGCGGCCGUAACUAUAACGGUCCUAAGGUAGCGAAAUUCCUUGUCGGGUAAGUUCCGACCUGCACGAAUGGCGUAAUGAUGGCCAGGCUGUCUCCACCCGAGACUCAGUGAAAUUGAACUCGCUGUGAAGAUGCAGUGUACCCGCGGCAAGACGGAAAGACCCCGUGAACCUUUACUAUAGCUUGACACUGAACAUUGAGCCUUGAUGUGUAGGAUAGGUGGGAGGCUUUGAAGUGUGGACGCCAGUCUGCAUGGAGCCGACCUUGAAAUACCACCCUUUAAUGUUUGAUGUUCUAACGUUGACCCGUGAUCCGGGUUGCGGACAGUGUCUGGUGGGUAGUUUGACUGGGGCGGUCUCCUCCUAAAGAGUAACGGAGGAGCACGAAGGUUGGCUAAUCCUGGUCGGACAUCAGGAGGUUAGUGCAAUGGCAUAAGCCAGCUUGACUGCGAGCGUGACGGCGCGAGCAGGUGCGAAAGCAGGUCAUAGUGAUCCGGUGGUUCUGAAUGGAAGGGCCAUCGCUCAACGGAUAAAAGGUACUCCGGGGAUAACAGGCUGAUACCGCCCAAGAGUUCAUAUCGACGGCGGUGUUUGGCACCUCGAUGUCGGCUCAUCACAUCCUGGGGCUGAAGUAGGUCCCAAGGGUAUGGCUGUUCGCCAUUUAAAGUGGUACGCGAGCUGGGUUUAGAACGUCGUGAGACAGUUCGGUCCCUAUCUGCCGUGGGCGCUGGAGAACUGAGGGGGGCUGCUCCUAGUACGAGAGGACCGGAGUGGACGCAUCACUGGUGUUCGGGUUGUCAUGCCAAUGGCACUGCCCGGUAGCUAAAUGCGGAAGAGAUAAGUGCUGAAAGCAUCUAAGCACGAAACUUGCCCCGAGAUGAGUUCUCCCUGACUCCUUGAGAGUCCUGAAGGAACGUUGAAGACGACGACGUUGAUAGGCCGGGUGUGUAAGCGCAGCGAUGCGUUGAGCUAACCGGUACUAAUGAACCGUGAGGCUUAACCUU
rnacentral:rRNA from 1 species